GGCCUUGCGCUCUUUGAGCGGCCGAUGUCAGAUUAGCUAGUUGGUGAGGUAAAGGCUUACCAAGGCGACGAUCUGUAGCGGGUCUGAGAGGAUGAUCCGCCACACUGGAACUGAGACACGGUCCAGACUCCUACGGGAGGCAGCAGUGGGGAAUUUUGGACAAUGGGGGCAACCCUGAUCCAGCCAUGCCGCGUGAGUGAAGAAGGCCUUCGGGUUGUAAAGCUCUUUCGGCCGGGAAGAAAUCGCAUGGGCCAAUACCCUGUGUGGAUGACGGUACCGGAAUAAGAAGCACCGGCUAACUACGUGCCAGCAGCCGCGGUAAUACGUAGGGUGCGAGCGUUAAUCGGAAUUACUGGGCGUAAAGCGUGCGCAGGCGGUUUUGUAAGACAGGCGUGAAAUCCCCGGGCUUAACCUGGGAACUGCGUUUGUGACUGCAAGGCUAGAGUACGGCAGAGGGGGGUGGAAUUCCACGUGUAGCAGUGAAAUGCGUAGAGAUGUGGAGGAACACCAAUGGCGAAGGCAGCCCCCUGGGUCGAUACUGACGCUCAUGCACGAAAGCGUGGGUAGCAAACAGGAUUAGAUACCCUGGUAGUCCACGCCCUAAACUAUGUCAACUAGGUGUUGGGUGGGUAAAACCAUUUAGUACCGUAGCUAACGCGUGAAGUUGACCGCCUGGGGAGUACGGCCGCAAGGUUAAAACUCAAAGGAAUUGACGGGGACCCGCACAAGCGGUGGAUGAUGUGGAUUAAUUCGAUGCAACGCGAAAAACCUUACCUACCCUUGACAUGCCAGGAACUUGCCAGAGAUGGCUUGGUGCCCGAAAGGGAGCCUGGACACAGGUGCUGCAUGGCUGUCGUCAGCUCGUGUCGUGAGAUGUUGGGUUAAGUCCCGCAACGAGCGCAACCCUUGUCGUUAAUUGCCAUCAUUUAGUUGGGCACUUUAACGAGACUGCCGGUGACAAACCGGAGGAAGGUGGGGAUGACGUCAAGUCCUCAUGGCCCUUAUGGGUAGGGCUUCACACGUCAUACAAUGGUCGGUACAAAGGGUUGCCAAGCCGCGAGGCGGAGCCAAUCCCAGAAAGCCGAUCGUAGUCCGGAUUGCAGGCUGCAACUCGCCUGCAUGAAGUCGGAAUCGCUAGUAAUCGUGGAUCAGCAUGUCACGGUGAAUACGUUCCCGGGUCUUGUACACACCGCCCGUCACACCAUGGGAGCGGGUUCCGCCAGAAGUAGGUAGCCUAACCGCAAGGGGGGCGCUUACCACGGCGGGGUUCGUGACUG
rnacentral:rRNA from 1 species